rnacentral:rRNA from 1 species
ACAAGCGGUGGAGCAUGUGGUUUAAUUCGAUGCAACGCGAAGAACCUUUACCUGGUCUUGACAUCCACGGAAGUUUUCAGAGAUGAGAAUGUGCCUUCGGGAACCGUGAGACAGGUGCUGCAUGGCUGUCGUCAGCUCGUGUUGUGAAAUGUUGGGUUAAGUCCCGCAACGAGCGCAACCCUUAUCCUUUGUUGCCAGCGGUCCGCCGGGAACUCAAAGGAGACUGCCAGUGAUAAACUGGAGGAAGGUGGGAUGACGUCAAGUCAUCAUGGCCCUUACGACCAGGGCUACACACGUGCUACAAUGGCGCAUACAAAGAGAAGCGACCUCGCGAGAGCAAGCGGACCUCAUAAAGUGCGUCGUAGUCCGGAUUGGAGUCUGCAACUCGACUCCAUGAAGUCGGAAUCGCUAGUAAUCGUGGAUCAGAAUGCCACGGUGAAUACGUUCCCGGGCCUU